rnacentral:rRNA from 1 species
AAGCGGCCAAGCGAAAGCGUUAAGUAUUAUCACCUGGGGAGUACGCCGGCAACGGUGAAAAUCAAAGGAAUUGACGGGGGCCCGCACAAGCGGAGGAACAUGUGGUUUAAUUCGAUGAUACGCGAGGAACCUUACCCGGGCUUAAAUUGCAGAUGAAUUACGGUGAAAGCCGUAAGCCGCAAGGCAUCUGUGAAGGUGCUGCGUGGUUGUCGUCAGCUCGUGCCGUGAGGUGUCGGCUUAAGUGCCAUAACGAGCGCAACCCUUGUUGUCAGUUACUAACAGGUUCCGCUGAGGACUCUGACAAGACUGCCAUCGUAAGAUGUGAGGAAGGUGGGGAUGACGUCAAAUCAGCACGGCCCUUACGUCCGGGGCUACACACGUGUUACAAUGGGGGGUACAGAGGGCCGCUACCACGCGAGUGGAUGCCAAUCCCAAAAACCUCUCUCAGUUCGGACUGGAGUCUGCAACCCGACUCCACGAAGCUGGAUUCGCUAGUAAUCGCGCAUCAGCCACGGCGCGGUGAAUACGUUCCCGGGCCUUGUACACACCGCCCGUCAAGCCAUGGGAGCCGGGGGUACCUGAAGUGCGUAACCGCGAGGAGCGCCCUAGGGUAA